CAUUAGAUGGCUGAAAGCAAGCAAUGGUCUCUUAAGCCUUAGGAUAGUAAAUUAGCAUUUACUUCUAAUGA
rnacentral:tRNA from 1 species